CAGAAAAAGACCAACUUUUCAAAUCUCUAGAAUUUUGUAGCCCUACAUUCUAUGGAUGAAAUUUUGAACGUUGAAGCACUGGAAAGUUAGAGAGAGGUAAGCUAAUAUUGCCGUUCGAUGCAAAAUUCAGUGGACAUGUUGAAGGCAUCCAUUUUGGGGGUGGGAGGGCCUGUUAAUGGCUUCAUUUGUAACUUGUUUUGUUUUUGGAUGAUUGGUGAUCAUCUCUAUUGGCUUUGAAAUAACAGCGGACAAAUGGUCAAAGUCACAGUUGUUAAUUCUUAUUUUUUCUAUGACGAGCUUGUGAAUGCUAUUAAACUGCUUUUACGUUUAAUUAGGUUGCUGUUGCAAAACACAACUGAUUAUUUCUUGAUUAUUUUGCAUGGACAACUAUCAAUCGCGACACUUUAUUUAUACAAUUUGUAAUUU